rnacentral:lncRNA from 1 species
AUGUGCAGCCUUCCCAUGUGCUACAAGCUAUUUUCCUCACCUUCGCCGACACCUACUUCUCAUUUACUUUUCAGCUUUUUCUCUUCAGGUAGCUCCAAAGAACAGUAUCCUCCCAAGCUUUACAGCUGUACUUCAUGCUUGGUGACAAGCCAUAUCACAAGGUUCCUUCACCUCACAACAGAGCGUUCAUGUGCCAAACUGAUAUCCUUCAGAACAGUUCUCGCUAAUGUGAGCAGUGAUUAAUCCUGGUUGACAGACUUCAGCAGGACCUGGCUUCACCACAAUGGCAGAAGGUAUUUACUGUGAAAAUAAUAUGCAUGUAAUUUGGGUCUUUCCUGUCAUGUGCUUAGAGAUUUUCCUAUCUUCAGUGUACCAUGCAGAAACAAAAUGGUCCCCAAAGUAACUGUUAGGAAGCAAAAAUUAAUGAGAAAGAGCUCCUCUUGGUGGCAAUUGGUAAGCUUGGCUAUGCCCUGCAAUACCUGCUUGGCUAAGCAGCUGCAGUGACUCCAUAAUUGCAAAUAGGUGUUCUAGUCUCUGUCCUAACUAUUUAGAGGCAGACUUUGAGCUGAAAUCGAGGUGUAUCAUCAAGUCAUCUGUAAAAUACAAGCCAAGCUGAUGAUCUCAUGGUGCUGCAGUGAUGACAGAGUAUUCUCUAUUCAUAGAAAGAUUAUUGUGCCAGAGGUACAUAAAUAGCUGCAGUAAUAAAAAUAACAGUACUUACACUGGAGCAUUACUUUAAUUACAAAUUUACAUGCUACUAGCAGUAGGCAACUGAAACUGGUAGUACUUUGAAGUAUCUUUUGAUGAACUUUCUGCUUUCAUGUCACAGGUAAGAAGGACAUUAAACUGAUGUACAACUAUUUUUUUUUAUAAUGUUCUGUCAUUAUUAUCCAUGUGAUGUGACAUUACUGGGUUUAGAUAAAGCUUUUUUAUCUUGUUAGAAAAAUAGAUCAAAUGUUUAAUUUUAAAAUGGCAGUGGAAACUAAGCUAAUGACAGUAUUGUUUAAACAUACAUCUUGAAAUAGCGUAUUUAUGAUACUGGUAUUAUUACAGCAACUUAUAGCACUAAUCAGAAAAGACUACAAAUUUGAUUUUAAUAGGUACAAAAAUAAAGGUACAGAUUUGUCUAUUCAUUAACACCCAAGAUCAUGGAUUAAUGCGCUACUCUGCAGCUGGAGCCAAACUUGAGUGCUGGACAGGGAAUUAAAAGUAGAAUGAGAGGUUUUUGAAUCCCAACACUUUGAGCAGCAUUAAAUAAAAAGAAGAAUAGAGUGUGAAGUAUGCUGUCC